UUAGGUAGUUGGUGGGGUAAAGGCUCACCAAGCCGACGAUCUGUAGCUGGUCUGAGAGGACGACCAGCCACACUGGGACUGAGACACGGCCCAGACUCCUACGGGAGGCAGCAGUGGGGAAUUUUGGACAAUGGGCGCAAGCCUGAUCCAGCCAUUCCGCGUGAGUGAAGAAGGCCUUCGGGUUGUAAAGCUCUUUCGCAAGGGAAGAAAACUUAGGCUCUAACAUAGCCUGAGGUUGACGGUACCUUGAUAAGAAGCACCGGCUAACUACGUGCCAGCAGCCGCGGUAAUACGUAGGGUGCGAGCGUUAAUCGGAAUUACUGGGCGUAAAGCGUGCGCAGGCGGUUUUGUAAGUCAGAUGUGAAAUCCCCGAGCUCAACUUGGGAACUGCGUUUGAAACUACAAGACUAGAAUAUGUCAGAGGGGGGUAGAAUUCCACGUGUAGCAGUGAAAUGCGUAGAGAUGUGGAGGAAUACCAAUGGCGAAGGCAGCCCCCUGGGAUAAUAUUGACGCUCAUGCACGAAAGCGUGGGGAGCAAACAGGAUUAGAUA
rnacentral:rRNA from 1 species